GAACGAACGCUGGCGGCGUGCCUAACACAUGCAAGUCGUACGAGAAAGCCCGGGCAACUGGGUGAGUAAAGUGGCGCACGGGUGAGUAACGCGUGGGUAACCUACCCUUGAGUUGGGGAUAACUCCGCGAAAGCGGGGCUAAUACCGAAUGAUGUUCCAGCGCCUUUGGGCGUUGGAUUCAAAGGUGGCCUCUGCAUGCAAGCUAUCGCUUAAGGAUGGGCCCGCGUACCAUUAGCUAGUUGGUAGGGUAACGGCCUACCAAGGCAACGAUGGUUAGCUGGUCUGAGAGGAUGGCCAGCCACACUGGAACUGAGACACGGUCCAGACUCCUACGGGAGGCAGCAGUGGGGAAUCUUGCGCAAUGGGGGAAACCCUGACGCAGCAACGCCGCGUGGGUGAUGAAGGCCUUCGGGUCGUAAAGCCCUGUCAGGUGGGAAGAAACUUGUUGAUGCCAAUACCAUCAGCACUUGACGGUACCACCGGAGGAAGCACCGGCUAACUCCGUGCCAGCAGCCGCGGUAAUACGGAGGGUGCAAGCGUUGUUCGGAAUUAUUGGGCGUAAAGCGCGUGUAGGCGGUUAUGUAAGUCAGAUGUGAAAUCCUUCCGCUUAACGGGAGAAGUGCAUUUGAAACUACAUGACUGGAGUACGGGAGAGGAGAGUGGAAUUCCCGGUGUAGAGGUGAAAUUCGUAGAUAUCGGGAGGAACACCAGUGGCGAAGGCGGCUCUCUGGCCUGAUACUGACGCUGAGACGCGAAAGCGUGGGGAGCAAACAGGAUUAGAUACCCUGGUAGUCCACGCCGUAAACGAUGGGCACUAGGUGUAGGAGGUAUUGACCCCUUCUGUGCCGAAGCUAACGCAUUAAGUGCCCCGCCUGGGGAGUACGGCCGCAGGUUAAAACUCAAA
rnacentral:rRNA from 1 species